UCCAAUGCCGAUCCCUCAGUCUGCUGGCACAGAUCCUUCAUCCCACCGGCACAGACUUUCUAGCUUCCAUCACUGAUAUUUGGGCCUCCCCGGUGCAGGACUCCAGGGAAGAAGACUUUCUCCCACAUGCCCAUGUCUUGGUGAAGAGCCAACACACUUAUAUAAACAGCUCCUGUUGCUGAUCUUCAGUACUGGGGAUUGAACCGACUGGGACCGUCAUACUGUGCUA